AGCGAACGCUGGCGGCAGGCCUAACACAUGCAAGUCGAACGAACUCUUCGGUGGUAGUGGCGGACGGGCGAGCAGCAGGUUGGAACGUGGCUUUUGGUUCGGGAUAACUCAGGUAAACUUGUGCUAAUGCCGAAUGUGCCCUUCGGGGGCAAGAUUUAUCGCCAUUGGAGCGGCACGCGUCUGAUUAGCUAGUUGGUGAGGUAACGGCUCACCAAGGCGAGGAUCAGUAGCUGGUCUGAGAGGAGGACCAGCCACACUUGGACUGAGGCACGGACCAGACUGCUACGGAAGGGAGGAGUAGGGAAUCUAGCGCGAGGAGCGAAAGCGUGACGAAGCCGUGCCGCGUGAAUGAUGAAGGUCUUAGGAUUGUAAAAUUCUUUCAGCGGAGACGAAAAUGACGGUACCCGGAGAAGAAGCCCCGGCUAACUACGUG
rnacentral:rRNA from 1 species